UGCUCAUACAAUCUUGGAAACAAUCUUUA
rnacentral:piRNA from 1 species